CCCAGACUCCUACGGGAGGCAGCAGUGGGGGAUAUUGCACAAUGGGGGGAACCCUGAUGCAGCGACGCCGCGUGGGUGAAGGAGCGUUUCGGCGCGUAAAGCCCUAUCGGCAGGGAAGAAGGAGGACGGUACCUGACUAAGAAGCCCCGGCUAACUACGUGCCAGCAGCCGCGGUAAUACGUAGGGGGCAAGCGUUAUCCGGAUUUACUGGGUGUAAAGGGGGCGCAGACGGCAGCGCAAGCCAGGAGUGAAAGCCCGGGGCCCAACCCCGGGACUGCUCUUGGAACUGCGCGGCUGGAGUGCAGGAGGGGCAGGCGGAAUUCCUGGUGUAGCGGUGAAAUGCGUAGAUAUCAGGAGGAACACCGGUGGCGAAGGCGGCCUGCUGGACUGCGACUGACGUUGAGGCCCGAAAGCGUGGGGAGCAAACAGGAUUAGAUACCCUCGCA
rnacentral:rRNA from 1 species